rnacentral:rRNA from 1 species
UACUCGAGUGGCGAACGGGUGAGUAACACGUGGGUGAUCUGCCCUGCACUCUGGGAUAAGCCUGGGAAACUGGGUCUAAUACCUGAUAGGACCGCACUUUAGUGUGUGUGGUGGAAAGUUUUUUCGGUGUAGGAUGAGCCCGCGGCCUAUCAGCUUGUUGGUGGGGUAAUGGCCUACCAAGGCGGCGACGGGUAGCCGGACUGAGAGGUUGGUCGGCCACAUUGGGACUGAGAUACGGCCCAG